CCAGGAUAUUUUCCUUUGGGCCCAGGGUGCAGAUCACAGUGAAUGUGGUGAGGAGCACUCUGAUUCUUUCCUGCCUGGUCUGCGCUCCAUCUGCUCCCCGGACAGCUCAAGUGCACAAGGACAAACAGUGGGCCUGGGGCAACGAGAUGUACGUGGAGCUCUGACAUGGCUGGAGAUGUGGCCAUCUCUGAAUGCGGGUCUAUUCCUGCCUGGGCCAUUGCCUUCUACUUCGUUAAAUGCAAAAAAUGUGUAUUUUCUGUCCUAUGAUCUGCUGAGAAAGUGACAUUUCUAAGUGGAACACUAGGCUUUAAAUUUUUAAGCUUUAAUUUAUCACCUUAAAUUUGUAGAAUUUGGGUUUGUGGACCAAUUCCAUGUCUCUUUGCUACCCCAAAACUUUGCUUGCUGGUUUAGAAAUAUAUGUGAUAACAAGAAUAUCUGUCUCAGCAAUGCUAUCUGGCUGAAUUACUAAUGCUACACUAUUUUGAUUCUUUUUGAAGAAAAGUGCUUUUCCU
rnacentral:lncRNA from 1 species